GCUCGCUUUGGCAGCACAUACUAGAAUUGGAACGAUACAGAGAAGAUUAGCAUGGUUCUGUGCAAGGAUGAUACGCAAAUUCGUGAAGUGUUCCAUAUUUUU